UGAAAUCCCGCUUAUUCUAAAACCCAAUUCCAAAAUCCCGCUCUGUUGUAUUCAUAUUUCAUUCCAAAAUCCCGCAUUUUUUAAACCCUAACCCAUGUUCUUCUUCUUCAGCCACACUGUACCCUAACCGACGUUCUUCUUCUUCAGCGACCCCUAACCCCUGUUCUUCUUCUUCUUCUUUAGAACAUAUCAUCACCGGUCGGCCACACUGAAGCAGGUGGGACGAUUUGAGCUUGUUGUAUUUUGGACGAUUGUUCUUCAUCCCGCAAUUUGUGUUGUAUUUUGGACGAUUGUUCUUCAUCCUCCAUUGUUGGCCAUUGUUCUUCAUCCUCUCACGAAAUCAGUUGUUGUCCUCCAAAUCACCGUGGACGAUUUGGGCUUCCAAAACGGUGUUGUAUUUUGGACGAAAUCAAUUGUUCUUCAUCCGGCAGCACUGAUUAUCUUCCAAAUCAGUUAGCUUUAAUGUGGACAACUAACGACUUUCCAGCUUACGCCAUGUUCAUUGGAAAGAAAAUAUAGAUUUGGAUCCAGAUGAGGUUGUCCAAGUAGAAGUUGCUAAGCAUGUUUGGUGCUUACCAUCAGGAAGAAGGAUCAUUGUUCAUUUUAAUGAAUAUGAUCAACCAAUUAGAAGAGGGGGCUUGUACUUGUUCAUUUUCUGUCUGAAUUGUCAAAAGAUGGAAUCUUUUGUCCACUUGGAGCACAAAAUUGGAAACGUGUUGAUGAUCAUUACAAGCAAAGGAUCAUUAAAAUGGUUUGGGUAUGCAUUAAACAUUCUUUAUUAUUAUAAUUUGAUAUUACUAUUCUCACCAUAUGCUUAUUUGACAAAGGAGAUUCUCACCAUAUGCUUAUUUGACAAAGGAGAUUCUUACCAUAUGCUUAUUUGACAAAGGAGAUUCUCACCAUAUGUAUAGGAUAUAUUUGUGUUACCUGAUACAAAAGAGUUUCGUCGAAUGAUAUUGUCACAUAUAAAUAUGAAGUGGAAGCAUUACAAGUGGGAGCUUCAAAAGGACUAUUAUCAGCCUAAUGUGACAAAGGAGAAGAUAAUUGAGAAUAUGCCUAAAAAUGUGAUAAAAGAACAGUGGAUUAGCUUGGUUUCUUACUGGACCUCAUAAAAGUUCAAGAAAUUAUCAACACUGGGAAAGAUAGCUCGUGAAAUACAUAAUCAUGUACAUACUACUGGGUCAAAGAGUUAUGCUCAAUGGAAAACUGAAUUUGUUAAGUUGAAUCACAGAGAACCUAGUGGGCUAGAAAUGUGGAAACGUACACACACUACAAAGAGUGGUGGUUAUGUAGAGGGUACAUCAACUCAAGAAUUCAUGGACAUUGCUGAAAGUAGGGUUAAUGAACGUUUACGUGAUUCGAAACAACCUCGUGAGGUGAUUGAGACAGAAGUUUUUAAUGAGAUGAUGUAUCAACAAGACAAACCUAAUCAGCGUGUUGUUGGUUAUGGUCAUGGGGUUAGUAGAUCUCACGUGUUUGGUAUUGAAGCUCAAUUAUGAAACAACAAGAUAGGUGAUUGUGGUGGUACGUCAAGUGAUGUUAUGGGGCUUAAAUCCUACCUAUUGUCUAUUGAGAGAAAAAGUGAUGAGGUUAUGAGAAAAAAUGAUGAGAUUAUUUUCCAAUUCCAAAAAAAAAAUGAUGAGGUUACUUCCCAACUAUUUAAAAAAAAUGAAGAAGUUAAAGAACUAAGAGCUCAAAAUCAAAAAAUUCUCACUCAGCUUGCAUUAGUCUUGGAUCAAUUACAACAAAAUCAAAGGACAAUUGGAUGAAGUAAAUAUGAUAAUGACUUAUAUAAAGUUUUUUAUAUUCAUAGGGAGUUUGGUAAUUAAGAUUUUUGCAGCUGAUGUUCAUAUUUUGACCAACAAAUCAUCUUUUGCGAAGGUCUUAACACUAGAGUGGAAAUUGCAACAUAAUGAAAACAAUUCUGCAGGCCUUCAACUUUUGACAAACUUUUAACUUUUAAAUUUUACUCUCUUAAACAUCGAUGAAUAUAUGUGUAUGUGAAUAUUGAUCAAAUUAGGCACCUAUUUUGCUUGGACUUUUUUGACCAAGCUACAAAAACUUAAGGUCAAAGCUACAUCAACGAAUGUAUGUGCGUAUAUGAAUAUCAAAUGCUAAUACUUUUGUGGAUAUGAUUGAUUUGGUAUGAUAUUUGU